UAGCGAUUCCGACUUCACGGAGUCGAGUUGCAGACUCCGAUCCGGACUACGACGCACUUUGUGAGGUCCGCUUGCUCUCGCGAGGUCGCUUCUCUUUGUAUGCGCCAUUGUAGCACGUGUGUAGCCCUGCUCGUAAGGGCCAUGAUGACUUGACGUCAUCCCCACCUUCCUCCGGUUUAUCACCGGCAGUCUCCUUUGAGUUCCCGACCGAAUCGCUGGCAACAAAGGAUAAGGGUUGCGCUCGUUGCGGGACUUAACCCAACAUUUCACAACACGAGCUGACGACAGCCAUGCAGCACCUGUCUCACGGUUCCCGAAGGCACUAAGGCAUCUCUGCCAAAUUCCGUGGAUGUCAAGAGCAGGUA
rnacentral:rRNA from 1 species